rnacentral:rRNA from 1 species
GACGAACGCUGGCGGCGUGCCUAACACAUGCAAGUCGAACGGAAAGGCCCUGCUUUUGUGGGGUGCUCGAGUGGCGAACGGGUGAGUAUCACGUGUGUAACCUGCCCCUGACUUUGGGAUAACUUCAGGAAACUGGGGCUAAUACCGGAUAGGAGCUCCUGCUGCAUGGUGGGGGAUGGAAAGUUUCGGCGGUUGGGGAUCGACUAGCGGCUUAUCAGCUUGUUGGUGGGGUAGUGGCUUACCAAGGCUUUGAAGGGUAGCCGGCCUGAGAGGGUGACCAGGCACAAGAGUACUGAGGUACGGCCCAGACUGCUACGGGACGCAGUGGGCGAGAGUAUUGCACAGUGGGGCGAAGCCUGAUGCAGCAACGCUGCGUGCGGAAUGACGUCUUUCGGGGUAUAAACCGCUGUCGCCUGUGACGAAGCGGGAGUGACGGUAAUGGAUAAAGAAGCACCGGCUAACUACGUG